GGUACUAGGAGCCGAUGAAGGACGGGACUAACACCGAUAUGCUUCGGGGAGCGGUAAGUACGCUUUGAUCCGGAGAUUUCCGAAUGGGGCAACCCAAUCAGCUUAGUCGCUGAUUACUUGACUAGUGAAUACAUAGCUAGCAAGAGGUAGACGCAGUGAACUGAAACAUCUUAGUAGCUGCAGGAAGAGAAAGAAACAUCGAUUCCCUGAGUAGCGGCGAGCGAAAAGGGAAGAGCCCAAACCAACAAG
rnacentral:misc_RNA from 1 species